CGCAGGAGGAAGCAGAGGGAGUCAGAGUGGGAACUCUGACUCUGACCAGCCUGAGCCACCACUGGACCCCAGGGAAAGUCACCCUCCUGCACCUAAAAGGUAGGAAACAGGAGGGUGACUUAAAUAUUAUGUGUGUGUGUGUGUUUGUUUGUUUGUAUGUAUGUGUCUGUGUUUGUCUGUAUAUAUGUGUGCCUGUCUGUCUGUUUGUAUGUAUGUCUUGUGUGUGUGUGUCUGUCUGUCUUCCUGUAUGUCUUUCUAUCUGUCUGUAUGCAUGUGUCUUUAUAUGUAUGUAUGUGUGUCUGUAUGUGUCUGUGUCUAUCUGUCUGUAUGUGUGCCUGUCUGUUUUAAUGUAUGUGUCUUUGUAUGUAUGUGUGUUUUGUGUGUGUGCCUGUCUGUAUGUAUGUUAGCCUGUCUGUCUGUAUGUAUGUGUGUCUUGUCUGUAUGUGUGCCUCUCUGUAUGUAUGUCGUAUGUCUGUGUCUGUCUGUGUGUGUGUGUGUGAGUGUAUGUGUGUGUGUCUGUAUGUGUGUCUGUCUGUAUGUAUGUAUGUGUGCCUGUCUGUUUUUAUGUAUGUAUGUGUCUUUGUAUGUAUGUCUGUGUGUAUGUGUGUGUCUGUCUGUUUGUUUGUAUGUAUGUGUGUCUUGUCUUUAUGUAUGUGUGCCUGUCUGUUUGUAUGUAUGUUUGUCGUAUGUGUGUUUGUCUGUAUGCCUGUCUGUUUUUAUGUAUGUAUGUGUCUUUGUAUGUAUGUCUGUCUGUCUGUGUGUGUAUGUGUCUUUCUGUCUGUUGGUAUGUAUGUGUGUCUUGUCUGUCUGUAUGUGUGCCUGUUUGUAUGUAUGUGUCUCUGUAUGUAUGUGUCGUGUGUGUCUCUGUAUGUAUGUGUGUGUGUGUCUAUCAGGGAGGGGGAAUAAGAGGGGAAAAGGGAGGGAGGGGGUGCCCCAUGGGUUAUGUGUAGAACUUCUUUAUUCCAAAAUGGAUAUCAGAUAACUUACCUGCGUCCCUCCUCCAAGGCCAAGUUCUCCAAGUAGCCUGAUCCUACUUCGGGUGAGGACAAGCAGAGGGGUGCUUUGCGCAGCACAGUAGUGGUUGGUUGUUUGUUUAUAUACACCCUCUGCCUCAGAUUUCCCCACAGGAAGUAAUCGGAAGCUGAAAGUUCAGGUGAACGUGUCGACCAAUUAAUCUUAGAAUUUCUUGAAAUUAUCCACUUGCCGAACAGUUGCUUCAGUUUUGAACAUAAAAUUCCACUAUUAUUACUCAUCGUACUUGUUCCUUCAUGAAAUCACCCAUGAAUCUCCAAAGGCCUUAAACAAAAAAAAACUAAAAAAUUAUUACUUACAAAUAAGUUAUUUCCCUAGAUUUUAUUUUGAGCUAACUAAAUAUGUAUGUUUACUUAUACUGCUUGUAGUAUUUCUCACUCUCUAGGGACAUUGGAAAAUUCCUUACUUAAAAGACAGCAACAUUUUCAAAUCACUACAUAAUAAUUAUUUUUAGGAUGAGACUCUGAAUGAUGAGUUUUACUUAGCAAGAUCAAGGACAUAAAGCAAUGUGCACAAAGCCUUAUACUGAAUUGUAUUGGUUAUUUAGGGCAUGUGAAUGUUCACUCAGUGACUCCAUCUCAUUCUUUGUAGGAUGUAAACCCAGUUCAACCCCACUAUCCUAGCACUCUUUGGGGACCAAGUUGUGCAGCUACUGAUGAGAUAUUACAUGAAGUGGAUCUUCCAGAACUGAACGAGGGGGAAUAUAUCAUGUUCCAAAAUAUGGGAGCCUAUAGCAUUUCAAUGAGCACUGAAUUCAAUGGGUUUCCUCGUUUAUCUGUGUACCAUGUUCUAAGCGCAGAAAUAUGGCAGUUGCUGGAAAGAAAAAAGAAGAUGGCAAAUCCUCCUAUUGAAUACUUCCUUAGUCAAAAUUAGCAUGUAUUUGAUGAAGCUGCUGUGUUAAUGUGUUAGCUGUUUAUUGAGAACUUAUCUGUAG